GGAGGGCAGGAGCCGGGGACAGCAGCUCUGGGGCUUCCUUUGCAGGAAGCCAAGGAGCCAGGAGCUGCGCCCCAGGGCCCAGCAGGAGCCGCCAACCACCAUGACAGCUGAGGGGCCCUGCGCCAGCCCCACCCUAGCGACUGCGGAGCCUCCCGGCAGCCCCACCCUGGCCCCGGAGGUGCCUCCCGGCAGCCCUACCCUGGCCAUAGAGGAGCCUCCUGCCAGCGCAGAACAGGAGUUGAGCGACUGCGGCGCGACAAACACCACCAGCUCCGCGUACUCCUGCGGGGCCAGCAGCUCCUCCGUGGGGUCUGGCAGCCCUGUCUUUGAAGGCUCCUUCUUUGGAGACACCCCCAGUGCCCAGGUGUCAUGGCCUGAGGAGGAGGAAGAGGAGGAGUGCAAGGAGGAGGAGGAGGAGGAGGAGCAGGAUUUGUGCCCUGAGGAAGACAUCAUCUUGGUGAUCCAGCAGCACCUGCAGAGCAGAGCUGAGGCUCUGCACAACCGCUAUUCGCGGAGCCUGGACACCAUCCUCAGGGGCCGCCUAACAGAGACCCCCACCGUGGAGAAGCUGCAGCACCUCCUGGAGCACAUCCAUCGCUCUCUCCUGGCAAACAACACCCAGGAGAGAGCCAGGGCCGUCCAGACCAGCGCGGCCCUGCUCCAGUUUGCCACCUCCCUGCCUGGAUUUGACACCUCCUCCACCUUCUCCAAGGCAGGUGAAUUUGUGCUGCAGCUGGGUCUCUGGAUAUCCCACCCAGCCAGUGACAUCAGUCGGCAUGCCAGGGGUGGCGUAUAUUGGCUUUACUGGCUCCUGCUUCAGAAGAGGGGGCUCAACACCAGUGAGGCCCCAGACCUGUGGUGCCGGGACAGGCUCCAUGACCCCGAGCGCCUGGGGUAUAGAAACCUGGCCAGGGUGGGAGAGGUCUUUGGAGAAAUAUUCAGCGAAGACCAGAAGAGCAGUUUCCUCCAGGCGGGCCUGCUGGCCAUCCACCACCCCCUCCUCCGCGUCAGCCAGGCUGGCCUGGUGCUGACCUAUUCCAUCUUGGGGGAAGCCGGCCAGCUGCUAGAGGACGAGCCUCGCUCCAGGCCCUCCACCCACCCGCUCCAGCCCUGCCUCCUCCUCCUCCUCCUGAUCUUCCCCAACCCCUCCGAUUUUGACUACACGGAUUCGACCUUUGCGUGGAUAUGGACUUUGCCUCAUACUUCUGACCACCCGGCUUCGACCUCCGGCCUGGACAUGGACACUGGCUCCCGUUCUGCCUGCAAAUACUCAACACCCGGCAGCAGUAGACAGGCCCCACCAUUAAUCAAACCCUAACCCCGCCCCAUGACCCCUUAGUCCCUCCCACCUGUCUCCGGAAGUCCCGCCCCAUGGGGGUAUUACUUCGUGGUCAAGGCGGCCACAUGACUGGAAGCCAGGACCACCCCAAG